AAAGCAAAGAGACCUUUACAUUUUAUGAAUAAUAGUAGUAUUCACUAUUGAUUCUAAGAAUAUUUUUAUUUCUUAUAAGUUAUUAAUAGUUAAAAGUUUAGAGAAAAUUAAAGCCCGUUUAUCUUGAUAAAAAAUUAAAAUUAUUUGUAUGAUGCAUAAUAAAAACCAUUCUUUAAAUAAAUGUACUUGCUCUUUUACCAAAAACUCUACGCCAAUCACAAUUGUAAAAAUGCUGAAUGCGUUUGUAGUUAUAUUGUAAUAUAAUAUUAUGCCGAGAUAGAUGGGGAAAAUUAAUGUUAGUGAUGAAGUCCUAUAAUUCAGUAAGUGAAAAAUGAAAAAUGAUAGCAAAACGUGAUACAAUUUUGUGGGGAGAAAAUCUUAUUUUAAUGGUAUUGUCAAAUAUGGUUACUUGGGGCAGUUUUAAAUUUUAAUUUGAAGUAACGAAAAAACAAAUAUAGUUAGUUAAUUUUAUCAGGUAACCCAUAAAUUUUAACUAGGUUUACAAAAUAAUGUGAAAAUAUGCAAUU